rnacentral:rRNA from 1 species
UACCCAGACUCCUACGGGAGGCAGCAGUCGGGAAUAUUGCACAAUGGAGGGAACUCUGAUGCAGUGACGCCGCGUGCAGGAAGAAGGUUUUCGGAUUGUAAACUGCUUUAGAUAGGGAAGAAGAAAAGACAGUACCUAUAGAAUAAGCUCCGGCUAACUACGUGCCAGCAGCCGCGGUAAUACGUAGGUGGCAAGCGUUGUCCGGAUUUACUGGGUGUAAAGGGCGUGUAGCCGGGUUGACAAGUCAGAUGUGAAAUCCUGCGGCUUAACCGCAGAACUGCAUUUGAAACUGUUGAUCUUGAGUACUGGAGAGGCAGACGGAAUUCCUAGUGUAGCGGUGAAAUGCGUAGAUAUACGGAGGAACACCAGUGGCGAAGGCGGCCUGCUGGACAUUAACUGACGCUGAGGCGCGAAAGCGUGGGGAGCAAACAGGAUUAGAUACCCCCGUAC